GGUUCCAUGGUGUAGUGGUUAGCACAUCUGCCUUAUACCCAGAAAAUCCUGGGUUCAAUUGCCAGUGGAACCA
rfam:Felis catus isolate Cinnamon breed Abyssinian chromosome C1, whole genome shotgun sequence.